AAUGAACGCUGGCGGCAUGCCUAACACAUGCAAGUCGAACGAGACCUUCGGGUCUAGUGGCGCACGGGUGCGUAACGCGUGGGAAUCUGCCCUUGGGUUCGGAAUAACAGUGGGAAACUACUGCUAAUACCGAAUGAUGUCGUAAGACCAAAGAUUUAUCGCCCAGGGAUGAGCCCGCGUAGGAUUAGCUAGUUGGUGUAGGUAAAAGCGCACCAAGGCGACGAUCCUUAGCUGGCUGAGAGGAUGAUCAGCCACACUGGGACUGAGAC
rnacentral:rRNA from 1 species